GACGAACGCUGGCGGCGUGCUUAACACAUGCAAGUCGAACGGAAAGGCCCUGCUUUGGUGGGGUGCUCGAGGGGCGAACGGGUGAGGAACACGUGAGUAACCUGCCCUUGACUUUGGGAUAACUUCAGGAAACUGGGGCUAAUACCGGAUAGGAGCUCCUGCUGCAUGGGGGGGGUUGGACAGUUUCGGCGGUUGGGGAUGGACUCGCGGCUCUUCAGCUUGUUGGUGGGGUAGUGGCUUACCAAGGCUUUGCCAGGUAGCCGGGCUGAGAGGGUGACCGGCCCCGUUAGAUCGGGGCUGCGACCCAGCCUCCUACGGGAGGCGGCGGUGGAGUGUAUUGCACUGUGGGCUGAAGCCUGGUGCGGCAACGCCGCGUGGGGUAUGACGGCAUUCGGUUUGUAUACCGCUUUCGCCUGUGACGAGGCGUGAGUGGCGGUAAUGGGUAAAGAAGCACCGGCUAACUACGUG
rnacentral:rRNA from 1 species